rfam:Medicago truncatula strain A17 chromosome 5, whole genome shotgun sequence.
UUAUAAGCAAAAAUCAACUUUCUAGGUUCAUUCAUUAAAUGAUGUAUUUUGUCAAUAAUAUAGACCAAAUACAUCAUUUAAUGAAUGAACCUAGAAAGUUGAUUUUUGCUUAUAA